GUGCUCGCUUCUGUAGCACAUAUACUAAAAUUGGAAUGAUACAGAGAAGGUUAGAAUGGCCCCUGCGCAAGGAUGACAUGCAGAUUCAUGAAGUGUUCCAUAUUUUU
rnacentral:snRNA from 1 species